GAGUUUGAUCCUGGCUCAGGAUGAACGCUAGCUACAGGCUUAACACAUGCAAGUCGAGGGGCAGCAUGAACUUAGCUUGCUAAGUUUGAUGGCGACCGGCGCACGGGUGAGUAACACGUAUCCAACCUGCCGAUGACUCGGGGAUAGCCUUUCGAAAGAAAGAUUAAUACCCGAUGGCAUAGUUCUUCCGCAUGGUAGAACUAUUAAAGAACUUCGGUCAUCGAUGGGGAUGCGUUCCAUUAGGUUGUUGGCGGGGUAACGGCCCACCAAGCCUUCGAUGGAUAGGGGUUCUGAGAGGAAGGCCCCCCACAUUGGAACUGAGACACGGUCCAAACUCCUACUGGAGGCAGCAGUGAGGAAUAUUGGUCAAUGGACGAGAGUCUGAACCAGCCAAGUAGCGUGAAGGAUGACUGCCCUAUGGGUUGUAAACUUCUUUUAUACGGGAAUAAAGUGAGGCACGUGUGCCUUUUUGUAUGUACCGUA
rnacentral:rRNA from 1 species